rnacentral:lncRNA from 1 species
GUGGCCAGGAGGGCGGGCGGAUCCAUUAGGGGUUGGGGGGGGGAGCGGCCGGCUCCUGGUGGCUUAUAGAGCCCCUAUAGGGUGCUGCUGCGUCACGGGGAACCUAUAGAAGGCCUGUGGAGAGCCCCCCCGCUCUUAUAGAGACCCUAUAGAGACCGCAGCCACGAUGUCGGCGCAGGCGCAGGUUCAGGCGCAGGGCCGGGCGCUGGAGGAUCGGCUGCUGCGGGUGCCGGGCCACGAGCUCCUGGCGGGGCUGCGGGAAGCCGGGGCGCUGGGGCCCACCGAGGAGGCGGCGCUGGGACCCCCGGGAGGCCGGGGCUGGGUCCGCCGGCUGCGGGCGCUGGCGCUGGCUCGCGGCGAGGAAAGCUGCCGGGCGCUGCUCUACGUCCUGGCCAGCCUGGAGGAGCCGGGGCCGCUGGAUUUCUACAACCCCCGGCGCGACGCUCAGCCGUCGCACCGCUCCGAUUGUCCCUGCUGUCACCCGCCGCGGGAGGACGGAGGCCCCAAAGAGGAAGACGGAGGCCCAAAAGAGGAGGAUGGAGGCCCCAAGGAUGAGGACGGAGGCCCCAAGGACGAGGAAGGCCCCGAAGAGGAGGAGGAGAAGGGUGAAGAGGAAGGCGGAGGCCUCGAAGAGGAAGAAGGAGCCCCCGAGGAGGAGGAAGGUGAUGAAGAUGGAGGCUCCGAGGAGGAAGGUGAUGGUGAGGAGGGAGAUGGAGACCUGGAGGAGGAAGUCGGGGGCUCCGAGGAGGACGGGGACGCCGGGGGGGAAGAUGGAGGCCCUGAGGAGGAGGACGCGGGAGGCGACACCGAGUAGGAAAGAGGGGAGGGGGGGAGGCGGAGGCCCGGAGGAGGAGGAGGAUGGUGACGAAGACGGAGGCGCCGAGGAGGACGGAGACUCCUGAGGAUGGUGAUGGUGGGGAGGAAGAUGGAGACCUAGAGGAAGAGGAUGGUGAUGGAGGCCCCCGAGGAGGAAGAUGGAGGCCCCCGAGGAAGAAGAUGGAGGCCCCGAGGACGAAGAUGGGGAUGAAGACCCCUGAGGAGGAGGCCGGGGGUCCCCAAGGAAGAGGCUGGAGACCCCAUGGCGGAGGAUGAUGAUGCCGAAGGGGAAGAUGAAGGCCCCGAGGAGGAGGAAGGUGAGGGCGAGGCCGGAGGAAGGAACCCGGGGGCCGGAGAUGAUGCUGAGGAGGAAGAUGAUGAAGAGGAAGGCGACGCCAAGAGGGGAAGGGAGACCCCGAGGACGAGGAAGGUGAUGGUGAGGAGGAGGAAGAUGACCCUGGAGCCUCCGAAGAGGAGGACGGGGAUGAAGGUGGAGGCCCUGAGGAGGAAGACGAUGGUGAGGAGGAAGAUGAAGGCCCCGAGGAAGAAGAUGGAGGCCCCGAGGAGGAAGAGGAUGGAUUUAGGGUGAGAAACGAGCC